rnacentral:snRNA from 1 species
GAAAAGGGCAAAUGACAUCUGCCACCACAUUGAUCACCAGGGCUGAUUAAGCCAAUCUGGCUCACUAGGUGGGUAUCCCCUUCCUCCCUCACUGUUCCAUGUGUGACCCAUCCAAAGCCACCCAUUCCAGGUAGAAGGAGUGUACUGUUCUUUGGUCUAGUGUAUAAGGGAGCAGAGAGGUCAGAAUAAUGCAUUAGGGCCCAAGAGUCUCUGGUUUUAAAU